rnacentral:rRNA from 1 species
UACAGAGGGGGCAAGCGUUGUUCGGAAUUACUGGGCGUAAAGGGCGCGUAGGCGGCCUGCUAAGUCGAACGUGAAAUCCCCGGGCUCAACCCGGGAACUGCGUCCGAUACUGACAGGCUCGAAUCCGGGAGAGGGAUGUGGAAUUCCAGGUGUAGCGGUGAAAUGCGUAGAUAUCUGGAGGAACACCGGUGGCGAAGGCGGCAUCCUGGACCGGCAUUGACGCUGAGGCGCGAAAGCCAGGGGAGCAAACGGG